rnacentral:rRNA from 1 species
UACGAAGGGUGCAAGCGUUACUCGGAAUUACUGGGCGUAAAGCGUGCGUAGGCGGUUCGUUAAGUCCGAUGUGAAAGCCCCGGGCUCAACCUGGGAAUGGCAUUGGAAACUGGCGGACUCGAGUGUGGCAGAGGGGGGUGGAAUUCCGCGUGUAGCAGUGAAAUGCGUAGAGAUGCGGAGGAACACCGAUGGCGAAGGCAGCCCCCUGGGCUAACACUGACGCUCAGGCACGAAAGCGUGGGGAGCAAACAGG